rnacentral:rRNA from 1 species
AGUCGAGCGGUAGCACAGAGAGCUUGCUCUCGGGUGACGAGCGGCGGACGGGUGAGUAAUGUCUGGGAAACUGCCUGAUGGAGGGGGAUAACUACUGGAAACGGUAGCUAAUACCGCAUAAUGUCGCAAGACCAAAGUGGGGGACCUUCGGGCCUCAUGCCAUCAGAUGUGCCCAGAUGGGAUUAGCUAGUAGGUGGGGUAACGGCUCACCUAGGCGACGAUCCCUAGCUGGUCUGAGAGGAUGACCAGCCACACUGGAACUGAGACACGGUCCAGACUCCUACGGGAGGCAGCAGUGGGGAAUAUUGCACAAUGGGCGCAAGCCUGAUGCAGCCAUGCCGCGUGUGUGAAGAAGGCCUUCGGGUUGUAAAGCACUUUCAGCGGGGAGGAAGGCGAUAAGGUUAAUAACCUUGUCGAUUGACGUUACCCGCAGAAGAAGCACCGGCUAACUCCGUGCCAGCAGCCGCGGUAAUACGGAGGGUGCAAGCGUUAAUCGGAAUUACUGGGCGUAAAGCGCACGCAGGCGGUCUGUCAAGUCGGAUGUGAAAUCCCCGGGCUCAACCUGGGAACUGCAUUCGAAACUGGCAGGCUAGAGUCUUGUAGAGGGGGGUAGAAUUCCAGGUGUAGCGGUGAAAUGCGUAGAGAUCUGGAGGAAUACCGGUGGCGAAGGCGGCCCCCUGGACAAAGACUGACGCUCAGGUGCGAAAGCGUGGGGAGCAAACAGGAUUAGAUACCCUGGUAGUCCACGCCGUAAACGAUGUCGAUUUGGAGGUUGUGCCCUUGAGGCGUGGCUUCCGGAGCUAACGCGUUAAAUCGACCGCCUGGGGAGUACGGCCGCAAGGUUAAAACUCAAAUGAAUUGACGGGGGCCCGCACAAGCGGUGGAGCAUGUGGUUUAAUUCGAUGCAACGCGAAGAACCUUACCUGGUCUUGACAUCCACAGAACUUUCCAGAGAUGGAUUGGUGCCUUCGGGAACUGUGAGACAGGUGCUGCAUGGCUGUCGUCAGCUCGUGUUGUGAAAUGUUGGGUUAAGUCCCGCAACGAGCGCAACCCUUAUCCUUUGUUGCCAGCGGUCCGGCCGGGAACUCAAAGGAGACUGCCAGUGAUAAACUGGAGGAAGGUGGGGAUGACGUCAAGUCAUCAUGGCCCUUACGACCAGGGCUACACACGUGCUACAAUGGCAUAUACAAAGAGAAGCGACCUCGCGAGAGCAAGCGGACCUCAUAAAGUAUGUCGUAGUCCGGAUUGGAGUCUGCAACUCGACUCCAUGAAGUCGGAAUCGCUAGUAAUCGUAGAUCAGAAUGCUACGGUGAAUACGUUCCCGGGCCUUGUACACACCGCCCGUCACACCAUGGGAGUGGGUUGCAAAAGAAGUAGGUAGCUUAACCUUCGGGAGGGCGCU